AUAUAAACGAGAUAAUGCCAAGUACAUGUUGCAUUGUUAAUUGCAAUAAUACGAAUAAAAAAGGAUAUCACUUAUUUAAAUUUGCAGUUUUACUAACAUAAAUAGUAGUAGACACAUCAGGUGUCACAUACGCACUACCACGCACUACCAAUACGCAUCGGGUAUUCACAUACACACUACAAACACACACCGCCGCCAUGCUUGGCGGUCUUCAUGGCCGAA